rnacentral:misc_RNA from 1 species
UUAACUAUUAUAUAGUACUCAGACGACACUAACAUUCAGAGUUUGAGGUCCUCUGGCGGGCACGCCCCAGCCGGAGCCGAGGGCCUUGCGGCGGCCCGCCAAAGCAACAUGAGUAGUAAGACAUAGGGUGGGAGAUCUACCCCGAAGGGCAUGAACUCUGUAAUGAUCCCUCCGCAGGUUCACCUACGGAGA